CAGCCGCCGCGGGAAUACGAAGGGGGCUAGCGUUGCUCGGAAUCACUGGGCGUAAAGGGCGCGUAGGCGGCCGAUUAAGUCGGGGGUGAAAGCCUGUGGCUCAACCACAGAAUUGCCUUCGAUACUGGUUGGCUUGAGACCGGAAGAGGACAGCGGAACUGCGAGUGUAGAGGUGAAAUUCGUAGAUAUUCGCAAGAACACCAGUGGCGAAGGCGGCUGUCUGGUCCGGUUCUGACGCUGAGGCGCGAAAGCGUGGGGAGCAAACAGGAUUAGAUACCCGUGUAGUCCCUGUCUCUUAUAC
rnacentral:rRNA from 1 species